rnacentral:rRNA from 1 species
ACAAUGGAGAGUUUGAUCCUGGCUCAGGAUGAACGCUAGCGGCAGGCUUAAUACAUGCAAGGCGAGGGGGCAGCAAUGUCACCGUCGUACG